rnacentral:rRNA from 1 species
AGAGUUUGAUCAUGGCUCAGGAUGAACGCUAGCUACAGGCUUAACACAUGCAAGUCGAGGGGAAACGACAUCGAAAGCUUGCUUUUGAUGGGCGUCGACCGGCGCACGGGUGAGUAACGCGUAUCCAACCUGCCCAUCACUUGGGGGAUAACCUUGCGAAAGUAAGACUAAUACCCAAUGACGUCUCUAGAAGACAUACUGGAAAGAGAUUAAAGAUUUAUCGGUGAUGGAUGGGGAUGCGUCUGAUUAGCUUGUUGGCGGGGUAACGGCCCACCAAGGCGACGAUCAGUAGGGGUUCUGAGAGGAAGGUCCCCCACAUUGGAACUGAGACGACGGUCCAAACUCCUACGGGAGGCA